GUCCCUGUAGCGCAAUGGAUAGCGCGUUGGACUUCUAAUCAAAAGGUCGUAUGUUCGAAUCCCACCUGGGAUG
rnacentral:tRNA from 1 species